rnacentral:rRNA from 1 species
CGCUGGCGGCGUGCCUAAUACAUGCAAGUCGAACGGUCUUUCUAUGGAAGCUUGCUUCCACUGAGAAGAUAGUGGCGAACGGGUGAGUAACACGUGGGUAACCUGCCCAUAAGAGGGGGAUAACAUCCGGAAACGGGUGCUAAUACCGCAUAGUUUUCUUGAUUGCAUGAUUGAGAAAGGAAAGACGGCCUUUGUGCUGUCGCUUAUGGAUGGACCCGCGGCGUAUUAGUUAGUUGGUGAGGUAACGGCUCACCAAGACGAUGAUACGUAGCCGACCUGAGAGGGUGAUCGGCCACAUUGGGACUGAGACACGGCCCAAACUCCUACGGGAGGCAGCAGUAGGGAAUCUUCCGCAAUGGACGAAAGUCUGACGGAGCAACGCCGCGUGAGUGAAAGAAGGUUUUCGGAUCGUAAAACUCUGUUGUCAGAGAAGAACAAGUUGGAGAGUAACUGCUCCAGCCUUGACGGUAUCUGACCAGAAAGCCACGGCUAACUACGUGCCAGCCGCCGC